UACGUAGGUGGCAAGCGUUGUCCGGAAUUAUUGGGCGUAAAGAGCUCGUAGGCGGUUUGUCGCGUCGGCCGUGAAAACCUGAGGCUCAACCUCAGGCCUGCAGUCGAUACGGGCGGACUUGAGUACUGCAGGGGAGACUGGAAUUCCUGGUGUAGCGGUGAAAUGCGCAGAUAUCAGGAGGAACACCGGUGGCGAAGGCGGGUCUCUGGGCAACAACUGACGCUGAGGAGCGAAAGCGUGGGGAGCGAACAGG
rnacentral:rRNA from 1 species